UGCUUGGGUGAGGCGGGCUGACCUGCUGUGGGCCUGGACAGGACUCCCUCACCCACCUGGGGGGCUGGGGGCCGCCAAGAGCUGAGAAGGCUCCUGGAGAGCCAUGCUGCUCUCUGCUGCAGCGGGGAGUCUCCACCCAAAGUGCCGGCUGAGCUGAGGAGCCUCCCUGCUGCCCAGCACCAGGGAGCAGAGCCAAGACCAUCCACAGGGGAGAGUGACCCGAUGGUCCUGCUUUCUUCUUUCUUGGGACUCGCAGAGCCAGUUGGAUGAAAAUAAAAUCCCAGAGAGUGAGUUCUGUGCUGAAGGACGGCCAGAAGGGGGGAAGGCCAGCAUUGGGGCCCCCCAGGCCAGGCUCUGAGUGUAGCAGCCCACCCUUCCCAGGGCUGCGGCCCCCACUGCAUCAUGAUGCCCCACCUAACCAGGGCUGAGGCCUGGGACAGGGCCAGGGCACAGCAGUAGCUGAGGGUCUGCCCCACCCCCCGGCCCCGCUGCGCGCCUGCCCUGCCACCCCUCCUCUGGUGCAUCAAAGAAGAAAAUUUUCACCCUUACUUUUCUGGGUGGGAGAAGAGGAAGCAACCUAGAUUAUAAAGUGUACAGGGACCAAUCCAUUGGAAGAGCAGAAGUGGGACUUCCUUAUUCCAGAACCAAGGUGGGGGCUUCCCCAGCCCAGGCCCAGGCCCCGGGGCGUCAGCCCAGAGCAGCUCAGCAGGGCACAGCACCUCGAAUGCAGCUCCAGCCUCACCUUUGAUGGCUGCAAAACCCAGACCCAAAGCUGCACGGGCUUGCUAAUUUGACAGAAAAGCCUUGUCAGGAGGCUUAUUGCACACUUCUUCAUGGGUCGCGGCUUUUCCAGAAAUUCAACAUGAAAUUUCUCAUCGCCGCAUUCCAUCUGGAGUGUAAUAAAUACCACUUCUCACCUAACACACUAAGGGCAGCAGUUUCGAGAGCCCUAUGUCUCUUCCUAACAAAGAUGAUUUGGCUUCUCUGUGAUGAUACUUACCCACCAGGAUCGGAUAAAGAGUCAAGGAAAGUGUAUUUCAUCACUCAGUGGAUAGUCUGCAAGUUCAUAAUCGCCGACCUCAGGAGUCACACAAACACACAGCAUCUGGACAAUAAAAACGUGUUCCUGUCCUUGGAGCUGGUCUCAGAGGACCCGUCAUCCUGUCCAGACGAUGGAGGAUUCUGGAUCCCUCAGAGUCCAUCCACAGAAGAAAGAAGCAUGUUUCUAGAGCUGAGAAGGGGGAUUAGGAAGCCACUGGGAAGUUCUAGCUUUCUGAGACUAAACAAAUAUGAGUUUUGGAGCAAGAGAUUCAAAUAAAUGAGAGUUUAUAUAUCAGGUUUUGUUUUCAAUGACGGCAGACGCCUCCGAAUGACACAGUGGCUCAGAGAGAGGAGACUUUGCUCUGUGGGGACCAUGUUCCCCUAAAACAUAAGCACUGGCACCCGUCAAGCAGCUUCAUCCCAGGGGCGAUCUCACCCUCGCGUGGGGCAUUCCCUGUGGUCGGGGGUCCUGGAGGCCCCAGGGCUCUUCACACGGGGCUGAGAGACCCAGAGCUGCCGCCUGCAGCCUCACCCGCCUCCCCGUCGUGUGCAACGAGAGAUGGACCUUCACG
rnacentral:lncRNA from 12 species